GCCUCUUAAUGAUGAUCAAAACAUAACUUUCGUUCUUCCGAGAUGUUCCUAUGCGGAAAUACUUUUUGGAGACCUGAACUGAAAGAGGC